UAUAUACUCCCUCCGAUCCAUAUUACUUGUCUUAGAUUUGUCUAGAUAUGGAUGUAUCUAGACACAUUUUAGUGCUAGAUAUAUCCAUAUCUAGACAAUGCUAAGACAAGUAAUACGGAUUUAAUUU
rnacentral:pre_miRNA from 1 species